rnacentral:rRNA from 1 species
AAUCAACGCUGGCGGCGUGCCUCAGACAUGCAAGUCGAACGCGAAAGGUUCCUUCGGGAGCCGAGUAGAGUGGCGCUCGGGUGAGUAACACGUAGGUAAUUUGCCUUUGGGUGGGGAAUAACAAUCGGAAACGGUUGCUAAUACCGCAUAAUGCAGCGGCUCGACAUCGAGACAGUUGUUAAAGCGGGGGAGUCCUUCGGGACCUCGCGCCUAAAGAGAAGCCUGCGGCGGAUUAGCUAGUUGGUGAGGUAAUGGCUCACCAAGGCGACGAUCCGUAACCGGCCUGAGAGGGCGGACGGUCACACUGACACUUAAAUACGGGUCAGACUCCUACGGGAGGCAGCAGUCGGGAAUUUUGGGCAAUGGGCGAAAGCCUGACCCAGCAACGCCGCGUGAAGGAUGAAAUCCCUCGGGA